AUCCUGGAUAGCUCAAUUGGUUAGAGCGCCAUGCUGAUAACACCAAGGUUGCAGGUUCUAUCCCCGUGUGGGACA